rnacentral:rRNA from 1 species
UACGAAGGGGGCUAGCGUUGAUCGGAAUCACUGGGCGUAAAGCGCACGUUGGCGGAUUGUUAAGUCAGGGGUGAAAUCCUGGAGCUCAACUCCAGAACUGCCUUUGAUACUGGCGACCUUGAGUCCGGGAGAGGUGAGUGGAACUGCGAGUGUAGAGGUGAAAUUCGUAGAUAUUCGCAAGAACACCAGUGGCGAAGGCGGCUCACUGGCCCGGUACUGACGCUGAGGUGCGAAGGCGUGGGGAGCAAACAGG